AUUCCGAGUUGUUUUGAACGCAGCAUAACAGUGGAAAAACGCAUGCACGCAGACUUGAGGCUGACGUCACCGAAAAUGAAACGCUCAAAACUAAUCAGCAAGAUCGCACGCUUGAUGAAAUUAAGAUAAUUUCUCCAUGCUUGUCGUAACUGGAACGAUGCAAACACUACAGACGGUGAACUAAGCCUCCCAAAUCAUAUUUUUUGGUUUCCAAGUUUGUCUUGCCGGGAAAGGUGAAUUUUCACGAAGAAAAUCUAGAUGAGUUUGCCUUGGAAUAAAUAACAGACUACUUGCAGGUCUGUCUGCCUUAGCUUCGGAAGAAAAUAAAUCAUGAGAUUGGCAGGGCCUCUGCGAGCUGUUGCUGUGCUGCUAUUGGUGGGCCUCACCUGGGUGUUAGCCAGCUCCAUACUUGGAGGGGACAGCAACUUGGUGGUCAAACACUUCUUCAGUGGGACAAACGAAGAGCCAACCACUGAGCCCAAACCACGCAGGUACAAGUGUGGUCUGUCGGCUCCCUGUCCUCAGAAACAUCUGGCUUUCCGCGUCGUCUCUGGAGCCGCCAACGUCAUUGGGCCCAAAAUCUGCCUGGAGGAUAAGAUCCUUGUCAGCAGUGUCAACAACAAUGUUGGUAGAGGACUAAACGUUGCUUUAGUAAAUGGGGUAUCUGGAGAGCUCUUGGACACAAAAUCAUUUGAUAUGUGGGCAGGAGAUGUUACUGACCUGUUGAAGUAUCUCCUGCCGUUACAUGAGGGAACACUUGUGUUUGUAGCUUCCUUUGAUGAUCCUGCCACAAAGUUAAAUGAUGAGGCUCGUCGCCUGUUUGAGGAGCUGGGUAGCACAGCAGUGAAGGAGCUCACCUUCAGAGACAGCUGGGUGUUUGUAGGAGCCAAGGGCAUCGAGAACAAGAGUCCAUUCGAACAGCGUAUGAAGAACAGUAAGAACAGUAACAAGUAUGAAGGCUGGCCUGAGUCUCUGGAAAUGGACGGCUGUGUCCCCCUCCGUUCCCCUUCAGAGGGUUAAACACUCUGCUUGUAUCACUCCCUUCCUCCACUCUUCUCAGAUGAUGCUUAUGCCCUACAUGGAUCCAAUGCUUUUAUAUACUGGGAGUGUGCAAGACAACUGCACACUUUGGGAGUGAAGGCCUCUGGCUCUAAGGAUGAGCAGCACAGAUCUAUCUGGAGAAACUGUAGCAGCAGAAGCAGUGACUAUGACAUUUUGACUAGCCUCGAUUUACAGGCUUCCUCACAUUCCUUCUCAUUAAUGAAACUUGUAGACGGACUGGGACCAUAAAUUUCCCCCUGCAUUUCUAUCACACCGGACCUUUUUUGUAUCUCUCGGCACCCAUUAAUAGCCAAAUGGUCAUUUAGACAAGCCCACUUAAUGGGCUUAAGAUGGCCCUAUGGCCAGUCUGUCCCUAAUGAGACUUGAGUAUGGUAUUGGUAUUGCACGACUACAGUUGGAUGAAUGAUGCUCUGUUACAAUAUCAUGUAACUACAGGGAGGUCAAGACUCGUAAAUUUUUUUUCUUCACUUUUAGUUUUUUUGUCAAGUAAAACGUGCUGCAAAGGACAUCUUCUCUUAAGUGGACUGCCUCACUGUAACAAUGCUGGCAGCACAACAGGCAAGCUGGCCUGAUGGUUGAUAUGCUAACUUGUUGAAGCAACUGUUUGGACUUGACAUUUGAACUAGGAAUUGAUUUAAGUAUUUGAGGCUUAACGUUCCUGGGAAUGACCACGUAGGAGGACAUGGAUAUUUCAGAGACCAAACGUUUGAUGCACAGAUAAGGGAAGAAGAAAAAGAUGCUGGAUAGAAUAAAUGAGAGGUAAUGUCUGUAAAACCCUGUAAAUGCACAGGAAGAGGGCGGAUAAUGCUGCCUAUAUGAACGGAAAUCGCGAACAAAAUACAAUUAGGGUUCAUAGCUACACUAGUACUUCACUAGUAACAUGUUAUUGCUGGCUGUUCUAGGAAGGAUAUUGUAUGUUGUGAUAAAUUAAGAUUAAAAUGCAUUAAUAUAUAUUUUGUAUGCAUAGUUUUAAUAUAUUAAAUUGUAGAUUUCAAUCUAGUUGUGCUAGCCUGAGUGUCUGUCUGUUCCAUCAUGCCAACUCUCAGCCAACUCGUCAUGUCAAACAUUUGGCUUGACAAGGUGCAAUGGAGUUGCCAGAAGCACAAACAGAUCUGGGACCAGGUUAAAGUGCUAAUAACAUCCACCUUUUAGUUGAGGGUUACCCUGGGUGUGGGCUACACCAAUGCCACGAUUACUGUAUAUAUGUGAUAACCUUUUGUAUGCUUGCAAUGCGCAGUGAUGGGAAGGUACUGGGUAAAUGGAGAUGUCCUGCUUUAGUUCUCAGGCUGAGAAUUGUCUGCACCUGCUGAUAGUAGAGAGAGAAACCACAGUCUAGACAUGUUUUUCUCAUCUUAGAUACUUUGUAUCUAAUCCAAUGCAACAAUGUUAAGAUAUGAUUGACGGUAGGUUGUAUAAAGAGUGUUGUCUCUUGUUUCGCACCACAGGUCUUUACUAUUGAGCUAUUCUGUAUGUGAAACUCUGUCUGCAAUUGCAGUUUAUUACUAAAGAGUUUUAUACCGAGGUUCCUGUGUCUGUGUCAUCUGAAAGACUAAUUGCUAAAGGAAACUUUUAUCACCCCAUGCAAAGGACCAAGCAACAUUUUCUUAGAGAGAACAUUGAUUGCUGCACAGCUAGUUUACCCAAAUACAUUCUGUCAACAUUUGCUUAUCUUUAAUGAUUAAUUAUUUAACUUGAAAUAGAACUAGCCUAGUCUAGAAUCCUAAAGAUACUUAUUAUACCUCGUAGGCUAUAUUCAUGGUUUGAUUUCACACUAAAGUGGACUUCAGUGCCUAAAAUAAACAUGAUUGUACUGUUGGAUAACAACACUAUUCGUGCUUUUACCUGUGUAUCUCAGGCCUUGUUCUUAGUGUUGUUUAUUUGGAUAUUGUAUCACUUUAUUAAAUUUUUUUCAAUUUGA